AUUUAUAGGCUGAAGAUGGGAAUCUCAGACUCUUUCCAAGACAGAGUUGAUGAAGCAAUGAGAAAUCUUAAAGACUACAAUCUUGUAAAAUACAACUGUAUUCAUUUUGCUUUGGAACUUAUUUAUGGAAAAGAACUGAAGGAGAAAAAAAACGAUGUCGAAAAAUUGAUCAAACAGUUUUUUGGAUAAGAGCUGAUUUGAGUGAGUGCAGCUCUUUGUUCGUGGAGACGUUCCUGUUGGACACACUGAUGAGCCGAGAGUCUGCUAAAGGAGGAUUUACUUUUUAUUUCAAUUCAUUUCCACACAAAUGAUCAUUAAAUCAGAUUUACAUCCUAAAAAUCAGCUUUGCUUUUAGAUUGUUAGUUUCAUUUCUAUAGAU